UUUCCGUAGGUGAACCUGCGGAAGGAUCAUUACCGAAUUGUCAAACGGGUCGUUGCUGGUCUUCAAACGGGGACAUGUGCACGCUCUGUUUACACACCCACUCACACCUGUGCACCCUCCGUAGUUCUAUGGUCUGGGGGACCCUGUCUUCCUGCCGUGGUUCUACGUCUUUACACACACUCUGUAAUAAAGUCUUAUGGAAUGUAUGCCGCGUCUAACGCAAUACAAUACAACUUUCAGCAACGGAUCUCUUGGCUCUC
rnacentral:misc_RNA from 1 species